rnacentral:sRNA from 1 species
GCAGCUAUGACUCCACCAGAGGAGGAAUUGAAGAGAAUGGGCUCCCCAGAGGAAAGAAGGCAGAACUCCGUGUCAGACUUCCCACCCGCUGCUGGCCGGGAAUUCAUUUUGCGCACCACUGUGCCGCGCCCUGCUCCCUACUCCAAAGCUCUGCCUCAGCGGAUGUACAGUGUUCUCACCAAAGAGGACUUUAGACUUGCAGUUAAAAUAAUCGAUGGGGAUGUGUAGCCCCCCGUGUGAGGAUGACAUCACCACAUUUCUAGUUUCAUGGAGCUCAAGAUGUCUUGUGUCUGUGUCGCUAGAUGGCCUCUGCUUGGUAAUCUUAUUUUUAGGCCUAAAAUUCCCACUUAAAUCCAAAGUAAAAAUGGUUAUACUGAAGCAUAAACCUUGCCUGUGUAAUUUUAAAGAAUUAAUAGAGCUGUGCAAACCCUGUUAUUUUUGUAAA